CCAAAAACUAAACCUCCAACUCAUGUCUUCUUUUCUUUUAUAGGAAUGAGACGAGGAAGACCAUCUGUAGAGCAUAUUGAAUGACUUAAAGCCCUGGAUCAUGCAAUGAGGGCUGAAUUUUUAGAACUUUACUGAGCCAUUCAAGGAUUAACUGGAGCUGUAGGAAAAAACCAAGCUAACCAUAAUCUACCCCCUAACUUGAAUUCCAAAACAUAGAUCAGUCUAUCUUCCA
rnacentral:lncRNA from 1 species